UUAAGUUCAGCGGGUAGUCCUACCUGAUUUGAGGUCAGAGUCAAAAGAUUGUCCGAAGACGAUUGUAAGCAAACGUCGGUUGCCUCUAACGAAACUUAUUACGCUAGAUUUCACUUCCGUGUCGCUAAGACAUUUAAGGCGAGCCAGCGGCAGCACCCAAGUCCAAUCAAUAAGAAACCUUAGAGAUUGAUGAUUUCAUG
rnacentral:misc_RNA from 1 species